AGAGUUUGAUCAUGGCUCAGGAUGAACGCUGGCGGCGUGCCUUAGGCAUGCGAGUCGAACGANCAAAAUCUAGCUUGCUAGAUGGAGUUAGUGGCAGACGGGUGAGUAACGCGUAGGAAUCUACCUCUUGGUGGGGAAUAGCCUUUCGAAAGGAAGGGUAAUACCGCAUAUGGUCUACGGAUCAAAGGCCUUAACGGGCCGCCGAGAGAGGAGCCUGCGUCCUAUCAGCUAGUUGGUAAGGUAAUGGCUUACCAAGGCUACGACGGGUAGGGGGUGUGAGAGCAUGACCCCCCACAAGGUCACUUAGACACGGGACCUACAUCUACGGAUGGCAGCAACCGGGAAUAUUGCGCAAUGGACGAAAGUCUGACGCAGCGACGCCGCGUGUGGGAUGAAGGCCUUCGGGUUGUAAACCACUGUGGUAGGGGAAUAAUAAAAUGAAGGUACCCUACUAGAAAGCACCUGCUAACCACGUGCCAGAAGCCUCGGUAAUACGUGGGGUGCAAGCGUUAUCCGGAUUUAUUGGGCGUAAAGGGUUUCGUAGGCUGUUUAGUAAGUACAUGGUUAAAUGUUUCGGCUCAACCGAAAAGCUGCUGUGUAUACUGCUAGACUAGAGGGUUGUCGGGAAUGUCGGAAUUCUCAGUGGAGGAGUGAAAUCCGUUGAUAUUGAGAGGAACACCAAAGGCGAAGGCAGACAUUUAGGCAACAUCUGACGCUGAUGAACGAAAGCUAGGGUAGCAAAAGGGAUUAGAGACCCCUGUAGUCCUAACCGUAAACGAUGAAUACUAGCUGGUGGGCAUUAGCUCGCCGGCGUAAGCUAACGCGUUAAGUAUUCCGCCUGGGAAGUACGGCCGCAAGGCUAAAACUCAAAGGAAUUGACGG
rnacentral:rRNA from 1 species